GACGAACGCUGGCGGCGUGCUUAACACAUGCAAGUCGAGCGGAGCGGCGAACGGGUGAGUAACGCGUGAGUAACUGCCCCCCUCCCUGGGGUAACAGUUGGAAACGGCUGCCAAUACCGGAUAGUGGGGGAUGACUCGCGUCAUAUCAGCUUGUUGGUGGGGUAGUGCCCUACCAAGGCGACGACGGGCUGCCGGCCUGAGAGGGCGACCGGCCACAUGGGGCUGAGACACGGCCCAGACUCCUACGGGAGGCAGCAGUGGGGAAUAUUGCGCAAUGGGGGCAACCCUGACGCAGCCAUGCCGCGUGAAUGAAGAAGGCCUUCGGGUUGUAAAGUUCUUUCGGUAGCGAGGUUAAUAUACUAGGUGAUUGACGUUAACUACAGAAGAAGCACCGGCUAACUCCGUGCCAGCAGCCGCGGUAAUUC
rnacentral:rRNA from 1 species